CUGCCCUCUGUCGGGGCAGCUGUGGGUUUAUGGAUCUCUUGCCCUCCAGCCCUCUCCUGACCACCCCAGGAAUUCAGCUCUAGCCUAGAAAACGCCCUGCUCCAUCCCGUCUCCCGCUGCUGCUGCCUCGCGUGUUGCCAUGGCAAUCCCUGUGGCUGCCUGGGAUACCCACUGCUGCUCCAGAAUUCUCUGCUUAAGCAGGGCAGCUCUCCCGCAGCCUGUGUGAGACACCGCCCUUUGCCAUGGUAUGAUCACCAGCACGUAGCCUGGAAAGCCUGAUACUGGCCUCUCCCUUCAGAUUCUGAAAGGGAGCCACUGUAGAGCUACUGGCAGAUCUACACAGCUGACAAGAUGCAGCUCACCCCUCUGUCUCAGGUCUCAGGACAACACCU
rnacentral:lncRNA from 1 species